CUCUUCUGGGAUUCUCAACAUAUCAGAUGAUGGCAACCUUGUUGUUUUGAAUGGCAAAACUGAGAUUCUCUGGUCAUCGAAUGUUACCAAUACAGCUCCUAAUACAACAACUGCCCAGCUUUUAGACUCAGGAAACCUCAUCCUCAGUAAUGGUGACGAUGGAGGAAGCAGCUUAUGGGAGAGUUUUGAAGAUCUUUCUAAUGCCUUCAUUGAAACUAUGAAGAUCAGCACUGAUGUAAAAAAGGGUCGUCAAGUGGAGCUCAAAUCAUGGAAAAGCCCUAGUGAUCCAUCUGAUGGUAACUUUUCUUUUGGCAUUGAACCUUUCAACAUCCCAGAGGGCAUCAUUCGGAAGAAUAACCAGCUCUAUUUUCGGACCGGUCCGUGGAAUGGGAAUAUGUUUCUUGGCUCAAUACUUAUGACCGCCGUUUAUACUGAUGGGUUUUAUGUUGUUGCAGAUAAUCAACAACAAACGUUUUAUAUGGCUUUUGAAUAUUCUAAUGACUCUAUGUUGAUAUACUGUGAAUUAGAUUCUCAAGGAAAAUUCAUUGAACGGAGAUGGGAUGCGGGGAAAGGGAACUGGAUAAACAGGUACUCUAGUUUUCAAACAGAUUGUGAUAUUUAUGGAUACUGUGGGGCAUUUGGAAUAUGCGAUUCCUCGAAACGUUGCAGUUGCAUAAAGGGGUUUAAGCCUAGGAAUAUAGAGGAAUGGAGUAGAGGUAAUGGGAGUAGUGGGUGUUUUAGGACUACCCCUUUGCAGUGCCAAAGAGAUAACACCAAUGGCAGUGGAGGAGCAGGCCAAGGUGAUGAUGGGUUUUUGAAGAUGAUGGUGAAGAAAGUGCCGGCAUUCCCGGUCCGGUCAUCGAUAAUUAACGGCGACUGCAAAGAUCAGUGCUUAGAAAACUGCUCGUGCGUGGCUUAUGCGUAUGAUGCUGGCAUUGGUUGCAUGUUUUGGAGUGGAGAUUUGAUUGAUGUGCAGAAAUUCUCCACUAGCGGAGUCGAUCUUUACGAUCUUUACAUUCGUUUACCAUCUUCUGAACUUGGUAAACUUGUCUUAAUGUUGACCAUAAAUUGCGUCAAUUAAUCUGCUUUUUUGGGUGUUGAUGUUUUAUUAACCAUGUUUCUGGAUUUGCAGAUAAAGGGAAAAAUACAAAGGUCAUUGUUAUUACAACAGUAAUUGCGGGCAUAGUCGUAAUUACAAUUUCUGCACUCUUCUUAUGGUGUAGGAUGGCUAAACAAAGAGGUAAAUCUCAUAAAAUUGGAACGAUGUAUUUUCUUUUAUUAGGUUUAAACAUAGAAGUCCAAGCUUGGCUUCAACUGAAAAUAAAUUAUUCAGCUUGGCUCCAUUAAGUAAUAAUUAAUAUUAUAAAUACAAUGUAUCAGACUUACUAGUUGCUUAAAUCAAGCUCACUCCAUAGUUGGAUCAACUCUGAUUUCUCUCUCAGAAAGGAAUGAAAAACGCAAACAUAUCAAACACAAAAUUUAUAGAGAAAAUUCAAUCGGAGUUAAACUCCAGCAGCUGCCACUAUUCAAUUUCAAACAACUUGCCAUUGCAACGAAUAAUUUCAAUCACGCAAAAAAGCUAGGCCAAGGUGGUUUCGGUUUGGUUUACAAGGUAAAUGAUUAAUGGCCAUUUCCAACAACUCCACGUUCGAUGAAAUGACAUUUUCUUUUCUACCUAGUUUUGUGAUCUUAAUUUUGUGUGCAGGGAAUAUUAGAUGAUGGAAAGGAAAUAGCAGUGAAGAGAUUAUCGAAAGCUUCGGGGCAAGGCCUGGAAGAAUUUGUGAAUGAAGUGGUUGUGAUUUCUAAGCUCCAACAUCGAAAUCUAGUUAGAUUAUUUGGGUGUUGUGUUGACAGAGAGGAAAAGAUGCUCGUCUACGAGUACAUGCCCAACAAAAGUUUGGACUCUUUUAUCUUUGGUUAGUAACUUAUGCUAAUCUCUUUCUACUAUUUUUGGGAAUGUCCUUAUUAAAUCUAGAGUCAAGUUAGGUUGAACUCCUUAAACAGGGACAAAGCUCUCUUAAAAUUCCUUUUCCCGUCUACAAACUCGAACUCAAAUUAUUUAAGAGAUAUUAAACUUUUUAUCACUCAAAAAUUAAUGGUAUCAUUUUCUUUCUUUAUACGAUUUAAACUUAUCUAAGACUAUUUCAUCUGCUGGAUCCUACAAGUUUGACUUGUCUUACUUGGUAGGUUGAGUCCAUAUGGGCUACAUCUAGGAUAUAAUUUUACCUUUUAACUAACUCAUUUAAACUAAUUAGGGCUCAAAAUACUUUUUUUGUUUUAAAUUUAAUUAAUAAAUACAAAAAAUUAAUUUAAAGUCUUUUUAAAGCAAGAAAUUGGAUGUGAAGUUGAUCUUCUGCGAGCUUAUUUGAGAGGAUACAAAACAUAAUAGAUCAUGACUUAGUCCAAGACCAUGCAUAAUGUAAUUAUUAAUAUAUAUAUUUCAGUUGAUGGAGAUAACUUAAAUUUUGUUUACAAUAUCAUUAUGAAUACGAUACGGUAGAAAUUGCAACGAUGAUUAGAUCCUUCAUUAUAGGAAUUAAUUGUUAACCUUAAAGGUGUUUUUGUAUAAUUUUUGUUAUAGAUCCGGUUAAACAAAAAAUCUUGGAUUGGAAAAAACGCUUUAACAUUAUUGAAGGGAUCAGUCGAGGAUUGCUUUAUCUUCAUAGAGAUUCAAGACUGAGGAUUAUACAUAGAGAUCUAAAAACUAGUAAUGUUUUACUCGACCGAGAGUUAAAUCCAAAAAUUUCAGAUUUUGGGAUGGCUAAGAUUUUUGGAGGCAAUGAAAAUCAAGCCAACACUAAAAGGGUUGUUGGAACUUAGUAAGUUGGACUUUUUCCGUGGCAUUUCUUUUUAUACUUUUUUUUUUGAUAAAAUAUGGUAUAGGUAUGUCUGGGUUCGAUGCUUAAAGAAAAUACAUGUUCAGACUUGAAUCGAUUUCAACUUUGUUUGGUUUGUGGACUCCUUUUAUGUGUUUAUAAGUAAAAUAUUAAAAUUAUAUUUUUAUAUUUUUAUAGUUAACUUUAAAUUAUUUAUUCUUAAUUUGGGUUGGGUUGUGGACAAGUUAAAAUUAAGGUUUAUAAUUGGUUUUUUAUGUUUAAUUACAGUGGUUAUAUGUCUCCCGAAUAUGCAAUGAGAGGGCAGUUUUCAGAGAAAUCAGAUGUGUUCAGCUAUGGAGUUCUACUACUGGAGAUUAUUAGCGGAAGAAGAAACAUAAGCUUUCACAAUAGGGAUGAUCUUGGCCUCUUGGGAUAUGUAAGUAUAUAAGAUAGUUAGAGAGGUUGGUGGAUGGAAUUAGGUGUAAGAUGUUGCAUUUGUGAGCUAUUCGGGUUUGGUUCAAGAAAACUUGAAUUUGGCUUAGUAAUUAUUGAGUCGACCAAUCAUUUGAGAAAAUUUGAGAAUCUUAAUGCUUGAAUCGAGUAGGUUACAAGGCUUUAUAACCUUAAUUAAUAUUGAAAAUUUUCAAUUCAAACUUGAACUUGAUUACAAAUAAUCGAGUUUGAAGUUAAGCAUAGGAAUGAAGCCCAUUGCAGAGUACUUAGGUAAAACAAGCCUAAUCAAGAAAGUUUGAAUAGCUCGAUCUUUAUGUCGGAUAGAGCUAAUCAAACUCUAUUAAAGCUUUGAGAUUAAAAUUUUGAGUCAAGCUAGGCUAGAUAAUUUUAGUAUUAAUUUAGACAAAGUUGGUUUUUUUGUUUUCAGGCAUGGAAAUUAUGGAAUGAAGGCAAUAUUUGGAACUUAGUAGACAAGGCGAUUUCAGAGUCCGAAUCAGAUUCAAAGAAUGAGAAAGAGAUAUGGAGAUGCAUAAAUGUUGGUUUGCUAUGCGUUCAAGAAUAUGCUAAUGAUAGGCCAACUAUGUCUACUGUUGUUUCAAUGCUUAAUAGUGAGAUUUCAGAUCUUAACACUCCAAAACAACCUGCUUUCACUCAAGCACCACUAAUAAUCCAAGUUGUUAAAAAUACGGAUUCAAUUAAUGAUGUAACUCUUACAAAGGUUAAUGGCCGAUGAAGAUGCAAAUUAACAAUACUGAAGUUUAUUUUUAUAUUUUGUUUUGAUUUAUUUUUGUCUUUUUUAUUUGAAUUUUUUUUUUCAUUUUAUUUGUACCAUUUUAGAGUGAAUUUGGCAUGUGACAACAUUAAGCCAAUCUGUCUCCCACCGAAGCUAUGGAAAAGUGAACCGUUCGAUCCAUCACCAAAAAAAAAUCACUCAUUACCUAAAUUUCAAAAAGAGUAUCCAAUUUUAGAGGAAAAGAGAUCCUACCCUUCAUUCCUUUUAUUUUGAGUAGUAUAGAACCAAAAUCAACCAUUUUCAUAAACCUCAAUGCCUAAAUUUGAGAUGCUAAAUAUUUAUUUUGAUUAUUGGAUUUGGUGCUUCAUUUGCUCAUUUUAUGAGAGGGGCAUGAAUUUCAAAGGGCAUGCAAAACGAAAAGGAAGAAGAAAGAAAGAAAGAAAAUUACUGAAAAAAAAAAAAGGAGAAAAACAACUUCCAUCACGCAAAAAAGCUAAGGCAAGAUGGUUUCGGUCCGGUUUUUAGAGUAAUAACUAAUAAACAAUGGUGAUUUCCAGCAAAUACAUUAUCGAUGAAAUGACAUUUUUCUUUCUACCAAGUCUUAUGAACCGAGUUUGAUUAUAAAUAAUCGAAUUUGAAGUUAAGCAUAGAAUGAAGCUCAUUAUAGACUUAGGUAAAACAAACCAAAUCAAGAAAGUUCGAACAGUUCAAUCCUUAUUUCGAAUAAAGCUAAUGAAACUUUAUUAAAGCUUUGAGAUUAAAAUUUUGAGUCAAGCUAGGCUAGAUAAUUUCAGCAUAAAUUUAGACAGUUGUUUUCUGUUUACAAGCGUGGAAACUAUGGAAUGAAGGCAAUAUUUGGGGUUUAGUAGACAUGAUUAUUUCAGAGUCCGAAUCAGAUUCAAAGAAUGAUCAGAGAUAUGGAGAUGCAUAUAUGUUGGAUUGCUAUGCGUUCAAGAAUAUACUAAAGAUAGACCAACCAUGUCUAUUGUUGUUUCAAUGCUUAAUAGUGAGAUUUCAGAUCUUAAUACUUCAAAACAACCUAUUUUCACUCAAGCACCACUAAUGAGCCAUGAUGUUAAAGAUAGGACUUCACUUAAUGACGUAACUCUUACAAAACUUGAUGGGUGAUAAAGAUGCAAAUUAAUUAUUUGGAGUGUUUACAAUACUGAUAAAGAUUUGAGAUGCUUUCUUUGUUGUAAAUAUUGGAGCUGGUGCUUCAUUUACUCAUUUUAUUAGAGGGGCAUCAAUUUCAGAGGGCAUGCAAAAGAAAAAGAAGAAGAAAGAAAGAAAAUUACAAAAAAGAAAAGGAAAGAUUAUGACACCAUGCAUUUGGGGCUUUCAAAUCUUAACAAACAUAAGAGUAAUAAUUCUAACUACGUAUCUCCUCUGAGGGUAAUUUUUCUACGACAAUUAUCAUUUGUUGUCUCAUUUUGAGCUUCAUCGAAUUUUCUUGAAAAUGAACUCAGUCAUGACUUGUUUUAUGAACAUAGUAAUAACAAUGUGACUUUAUUCUAUAUUUAUUUCAAUUGGACAUAAAUCUUUUAAAAAAUAUUAUUAUUUUUUUCACAACUUUCACCUCAGUAAUUUUUUUACAUCACCUGUCACUUUAGACUGGGAAAAAAUGAAUGAUUUAGAAACAUUUAGAGUAACUAAUUAAUGGUCAAUAACAAAUUUCGUAGUUCAAAUAAUAGAUGCAAUUUUUCAAAUCAACAUUUGAAGUUUCACCUGUUUAUUUUAUUUGUUUUUCUGUCGACUUUUCCUUGCAUGGGAUUGGAGUACCCAGAAAAUCAACUAGAAUAUAUCACCCUCUUCAUACCAAUUUUUGCUUUAUUAUUAUUAUUACUCUGUUUCAUCAUGAGUUAAUCAUAAAAUAUCGUAUGAAAAGAUUAAUAUCAACAAUAAAUUAAAAAUUGGUAUGAACAAUAAUAAUAAAUUAAAGAUUAAUAUCAACAAUAUUUUAUGAUUAACUCAUGAUGACACAGACUAAUAAUAAUAAUAAAGCAAAAACUGGUAUGAACUAGGUGACACGUGCUAGUUGAUUUUGUUGGUACUCCAAUCCCACACAAGGAAAAGUCGACAGAAAAACAAAGAAAAUAAAGAGGUGACUACCUCUUCAAGAAACUUCAAAUCAUGAAGUAAACAUUGGCAGCUGCCAUGAAACAUCAUUACAUCCUACCAUCUUUUAAAAGAAAACACUGGAAAAGAAAAUUGAGUUGAGUUCAUUUAGAGUAAAUCCUUGAAGAUCCCAACUAAUUCCAAGUUCUGGGAAGAGAUUAUGGGAAAAACUAUUAGCUGCUCUGUUUUACUAGCUUUAAUAUCUUGCUUUUACUUACUAUUUGCCACUGCUUUAGACAUAAUAACACCAUCAAAAUCCAUCAAAGACCCUGAUGUUAUAAUCUCCCAGAAUGGUGUUUUCCGAUUGGGAUUCUUCAGCUUGGCUAACUCGACCAAUCGUUAUGUAGGGAUUCUCUACAAUCAAAUCCCCGUACAAACUGUUGUAUGGGUAGCAAAUAGAAACAGGCCCCUCAAAGACUCUUCUGGGAUUCUCAACAUAUCAGAUGAUGGCAACCUUGUUGUUUCCAAUGGAAAAGCUGAGGUUCUUUGGUCAUCACAUGUUAACAAUACAGCUCCUAAUGCAACAACUGCCCAGCUUUUAGACUCUGGAAACCUUGUCCUUAGUAAUGGUGAGGAUGGAGCAAGCAGCUUAUGGGAGAGUUUCGAAGAUCCUUCUAAUGCCUUCAUUGAAACUAUGAAGAUCAGCACUGAUGUUAAAACGGGUCGUAAAGUGGAGCUGAAAUCAUGGAAAAGCAUUGAUGAUCCAUCUGAUGGUAACUUUUCUUUUGGUAUUGAACCUUUCAAUAUCCGAGAGCUUGUCAUUAGGAACAAUAACCAGCUCUAUUUUCGGAGUGGUCCAUGGAAUGGGAAUAUCUUUAUUGGCUUAUUAUAUAUGUACACCGAUAAUCUUGAUGGGUUUGAGGUUUUUACAGAUAAGUCACCGUACUAUAUGACUUAUGAAUCUUCUAAUGAGUCUAUGUUGAUAUACUAUGAAU
rnacentral:lncRNA from 1 species